UACAGAGGUCCCAAGCGUUGUUCGGAUUCACUGGGCGUAAAGGGUGCGUAGGUGGCCAGGUAAGUUUGGUGUGAAAGCUCGGAGCUUAACUCCGAAAAGUCAUUGAAUACUAUCUGGCUGGAGGGUCGGAGGGGAGACUGGAAUUCUCGGUGUAGCAGUGAAAUGCGUAGAUAUCGAGAGGAACACCAGUGGCGAAGGCGAGUCCCUGGACAACUUCUGACGCUGAGGCACGAAAGCUAGGGGAGCAAACAGG
rnacentral:rRNA from 1 species